GCCGUUGACCAGACAACUAGGAUGUUGGCUUAGAAGCAGCCAUCAUUUAAAGAGUGCGUAAAAGCUCACUAGUCGAGUGACACUGCGCCGAAAAUGUACCGGGGCUAAACAUAUUACCGAACCUGAGGAUUGUCCUUUGGACAAUGGUAGGAGAGCGUUCUAAGGGCGUUGAAGCAUGAUCGUAAGGACAUGUGGAGCUCUUAGAAGUGAGAAUGCCGGUGUGAGUAUCGAAAGACGGGUGAGAAUCCCGUCCACCGAUUGACUAAGGUUUCCAGAGGAAGGCUCGUCC
rnacentral:rRNA from 1 species